CGUUGUGGAAAAUAUAAUUCCAACGACAUCCAAAAUUAAGCAGAUAUCUCUCUGCGUCUCUCUCCCGAGCCUCAUCCUCUUCCUUCUUAUACACAGACAAAAACACUUCGACAAAUCCAUGGCCUCACCGUCCGAACCACCACACACCAAUCAGCAACUCGGACCCACCGUAACCCACCUGGUCCACUCCACCGCAUCCAAUCUCCUCUCCAUCUUCGCCUCCCCCAAGACGACCCCGUCGCCGUCCACGACCCCGCCGGCAAUCCGCGUCUGGCUCCUCCUCCCAAACUCGCCGAAACCUCUCGCUUUCCAGCCCGACUCCAAUACCUCCGCCAUGAAGGGCGUGGCGUCGUCGCCCGAGUCGACCUCCGGGUUCCCGUCAACGGUCAGGAUUGCAGGGCUGAACUCGAACAUCAAGAGCGGCGCUGGGCCGGCGUUUGUGGGCCAGGUCUUCAGUAUGUGCGACCUCUCCGGGACUGGUCUCAUGGCUGUCUCCACCCACUUCGACAUCCCCUUUAUUUCCAGAAGAACUCCUGAGUGGCUGAAGAAGAUGUUUAAAUCAAUUACUAAUAGUGAGAGAAAUGGCCCCGUGUUUCGAUUUUUCAUGGAUUUAGGCGAUGCGGUUACGUAUGUGAAACGGCUGAAUAUUCCGAGUGGCGUGGUGGGUGCUUGUCGUCUUGAUUUAGCAUAUGAACACUUCAAGGAAAAGCCCCACUUGUUCCAGUUUGUUCCAAAUGAAAAACAGGUCAAGGCAGCUAACAAACUUCUCAAGACAAUGCCGCAGAGUGGCAAAUGCAAAAGGGUUGACGGAGUUCCAGUUUUUGGUGCUCAAAACUUGGAUAUUGCAAUAGCAAGCUCAGAUGGGAUCAAAUGGUAUACUCCCUACUUUUUUGAUAAAAACAUGCUUGAUAACAUUCUUGAGGAAUCUGUUGAUCAGCAUUUCCAUUCUUUAAUUCAAACUCGGCACAUGCACCGGCGACAUGAUGUGAUUGAUGACAACAUACCAGCAGAAGUAAUUGAAGAGAUGGGAGAUAACUUAUGGGAGCCUCCAGAGGUUCAGGAAGUAAUGGAUGAAAUGGGGAAUCCUGGAAUACCUUUGAGUGUCAUUUCUAAAGCCGCUGAAAUGCAGCUCCUCAAUGCUGUUGAUAAAGUACUUCUGGGUAAUAGGUGGGUACGGAAAGCAACUGGCAUUCAACCCAAAUUCCCUUAUAUGGUUGACUCUUUCGAGAGAAGGAGUGCGGCCUCUUUCCUCAGAGCUUCUCAGCCAGCCAGAUGCCUUGGCAAUGGCGAAGCAGUAGAUGAUACUGAAGAUUCUCUAGAUUGUAGCACUUCGGAGAUUAAAUUAAAGGAUGAUAUUCACACCAAUAAAGGAAACAAAAUAAAACUCCGGUUUCCUUUCGGAGAUUGGUUUAGUCAUCUGUGGUCGAAACAAAGGGACCAAAAUGAAGAGCUGUCAAACGAACAGCAUAGAGCAGAGCUCACUACAAAAUCCAAACCUUCCUAAGAUUACUAUGGUUGGCAUUUCAACUGGUGAGGCAGGGCCAAUGAGUAAAGCAAAUUUAAAGAAGACGAUGGAGGAUUUAACAAAAGAGUUGGAGCAGACGGAUUCAGGAAAUGGUUUUGGUAGCGAUACAAGUAAUGAGUUAAGAUUUGAAGAUAGAGAUCCGCUAUUUGUGGCAAAUGUAGGUGAUUAUUAUUCUGGCAUGGCAAAGACGGGUUCAUCUAGAUGGGUUCGUGGAGGAAACAAUUAGGGGGCCUCGCUAUGAAACCAUUUUUGUGUUCUCUUCAGGUACGAUAGAGAAUAUAGUAUGAUACUGCCUCUCCCACCAUCAAAAGAAGAUACAUUGUUCCCAUGCCAUGUAUUUCUUUUGAUGAUGGGAUGCUGAUUUCUCUAAGUUUCUCGUGCAUUUUCGAUGUAGCAUGUAUUUCACGAUAUGUGAUCCGACCAUUGUUGUAGAAAGGGUAAAAGAGCGUAUGUGUAACGGAAUGGAUAAAAAAAUUUUUUCCUUGAGUGAACUGGGUACUGUAAUAGAUAUUUUUUUGGAAAUUUUAAUGAAACACUUCUGGUACUGGUA